rnacentral:rRNA from 1 species
CAGGUCAGUCUGAACUGAAAGCCCGGGGCUCAACCCCGGAAUUGCUUUGGAUACUGCCUGGCUGGAUUGUGCGAGAGGAAUACGGAAUUCCAGGUGUAGCGGUGAAAUGCGUAGAUAUCUGGAGGAACACCGGUGGCGUAAGCGGCUUUCUGGCGCAUAACUGACGCUGAGGCUCGAAAGCGUGGGGAGCGAACGGGAUUAGAUACCCCGGUAGUCCACGCCGUAAACGUUGUGCACUAGGUGUGGGAGGUAUCGACCCCUUCCGUGCCGGAGCCAACGCAUUAAGUGCACCGCCUGGGGAGUACGGUCGCAAGACUGAAACUCAAAGGAAUUGACGGGGGCCCGCACAAGCGGUGGAGCAUGUGGUUUAAUUCGAGGCAACGCGAAGAACCUUACCCAGGCUUGACAUCCCGAGACCGCCAUGGAAACAUGGUUUCCCCUUCGGGGGCUCGGUGACAGGUGUUGCAUGGCAGUCGUCAGCUCGUGUCGUGAGAUGUUGGCUUAAGUCCCGCAACGAGCGCAACCCCUGUCCCUAGUUACCAGCGGUUCGGCCGGGCACUCUAGGGAGACUGCCGGUGAUAAACCGGAGGAAGGUGGGUACGACGUCAAGUCAUCACGGCCCUUAUGCCUGGGGCGACACACGUGCUACAAUGGCCGGUACAAAGAGCUGCAAAGCCGCGAGGUGGAGCCAAUCUCAAAAAGCCGGUCUCAGUUCAGAUUGGAGUCUGCAACUCGACUCCAUGAAGUCGGAAUCGCUAGUAAUCGCGUAUCAGCCAUGACGCGGUGAAUACGUUCCCGGGCCUUGUACACACCGCCCGUCACAUGACCCGAGUCGGGUGCACCCGAAGUCGCUGGCCCAAC